rnacentral:rRNA from 1 species
CUGGCGGCAUGCCUAAGACAUGCAAGUCGAACGAAGCGGCCCGUUGAAACAGAGUGCUUGCACAAAGUAGAUUCGGAUUUCCGCUUAGUGGCGCAAGGGUGAGUAACACGUGGGUUAUCUACCCCAGAGACUGGGAUAACGGUUGGAAACGAUCGCUAAUACCGGAUUACUAUUUAAGAUGAUACGUUAUCUUAAAUUAAAAGGGAGCCUUUAAAGCUUCGCUUUGGGAUGAGCUUGCGGCGUAUUAGCUAGAUGGCGGGGUAACGGCCCACCAUGGCGACGAUGUCUAGGGGUUCUGAGAGGAAGGUCCCCCACACUGGAACUGAGACACGGUCCAGACUCCUACGGGAGGCAGCAGUGGGGAAUCUUCCGCAAUGGGCGCAAGCCUGACGGAGCAACGCCGCGUGAGUGAAGAAGGUUUUCGGAUCGUAAAGCUCUGUUGAGAGGGACGAGAGACAUAAUCAGGAAAUGGGUUAUGGAGGACGGUACCUUUCGAGGAAGCCACGGCUAACUACGUG